AAGUCGUAACAAGGUUUCCGUAGGUGAACCUGCGGAAGGAUCAUUAGCGAAGUUCGGAAUGCAUGUUCGAUGUUGAUGCUGCCCAGCAAUGGGAUGUGCUCGCUCGGAUGUGUGUCCCUUCUCUAUCCACCCCAUUGUGAACCAAGUGUGUGAGCCGAAGAGAAAUCGGACGCUCGCAUGCAAACCUUUAACAUACCCCAAUGAAGUAUCAGAAUGUACCUUGCGUUAAUUCGCACAAAUAUAACUUUCAACAACGGAUCUCUUGGCUCUC
rnacentral:misc_RNA from 1 species